rnacentral:rRNA from 1 species
AAUAUUGGACAAUGGGGGGAACCCUGAUCCAGCCAUGCCGCGUGUGUGAAGAAGGUCUUCGGAUUGUAAAGCACUCUAAGUUGGGAGGAAGAGUUGUAGGCUAAUACCUUGCAAUUUUGACGUUACCAACAGAAUAAGCACCGCCUAACUUCGUGCCAGCAGCCGCGGGAAUACGAAGGGUGCAAGCGUUAAUCGGAAUUACUGGGGGUAAAAGGCGCGGAGGUGGGUCGUUUAAUUGGAAGUGGAAGCCCCGGGCUUAAACUGGGGAUUGCUUUCAAAACUGACGAGCUAGAGUACGGUAGAGGGUAGUGGAAUUUCCUGUGUAGCGGUGAAAUGCGUAGAUAUAGGAAGGAACAUCAGUGGCGAAGGCGACUACCUGGACUGAUACUGACACUGAGGUGCGAAAGCGUGGGGAGCAAACGGG